GGAGAGUGGGGAGACGUCAAUCAUCAUGCCCCUUAUGACCUGGGCUACACACGUGCUACAAUGGCUGGUACAACGAGUCGCAAGCCGGUGACGGCAAGCUAAUCUCUUAAAGCCAGUCUCAGUUCGGAUUGUAGGCUGCAACUCGCCUACAUGAAGUCGGAAUCGCUAGUAAUCGCGGAUCAGCACGCCGCGGUGAAUACGUUCCCGGGCCUUGUACACACCGCCCGUCACACCACGAGAGUUUGUAACACCCGAAGUCGGUGAGGUAACCUUUUAGAACCCGCCCCCCAAAGGGGGAAAAAAGAAUGGGGGGAAAUCCUAACAAGGGAACCGUAAA
rnacentral:rRNA from 1 species